rnacentral:rRNA from 1 species
GAUCUUCUACCCCUAGUGGUGGGAAUAACAGGUGUAACAGCCUUAAUAAAACCCCGUAUACCAAGAGGUGAAACAGUACUAGGGAUGAGCUUGCGUCUGAUUAGCUGGUUGGUGAGGUAAAAGCUCACCAAGGCUACGAUCAGUAGCUGGUUUGAGAGAACGAACAGCCACAUUGGGAUUGAGAGACGGCCCAGACUUUUUAGGAAGGCAGCAGUGGGGAAUAUUUCGCAAUGAGCGCAAGCUUGACGAUGCGAUACCUCGUGGGGGAUGAGAGAUCUUUAGGUUUGUAAACCCCUUUUACUAAUGAGGAAGAUAUGACAGUAGUUAGUGAAUAAGCAUCGGCUAACUCCGUGCCAGCAGCCGCGGUAAUACGGGGGAUGCAAGCGUUGUCCAGGUGUAUUGGGCGUAAGGCGUCUGCAGGUUGUCUGACAAGUUUAUUGUUAAAGACUUGGGCUUAACCCGAGGGAAGCAAUAAAAACUAUCAGACUUGAGAAUGGAUGGGGUAGGGGGAAUUCCUAGUGUAGCGGUAAAAUGCGUAUAAAUUAGGAGGAACACCGACGGCGAAGGCGCCCUACUGGACCAUAUCUGACACUCAGAGACGAAAGCUGAGGGAGCNAAAAGGAUUAGGUACCCUUGUAGUCUCAGCUGUAAACGAUGGAUACUAGGUGCUGUAGCUGUACAGUGUCGUAGCCAACGCGUUAAGUAUCCCGCCUGGGGAGUACGCUCGCAAGGGUGAAACUCAAAGGAAUUGACGGGAGCCCUCGCAAGCGGUGGAGCAUGCGGUUUAAUUCGACAACGCGAAGAACCUUACCUAGAUUAGACCAUCGGUACAGAUACCCGAAAGGAAGUUCAGUAGAGUCUUCUUCGGGAGCAGCCGAUUGCAGGUGGUGCAUGGCUGUCGUCAGCUCGUGUCGUGAGAUGUCAGGUUAAGUCCUGAAACGAGCGCAACC